UACGGAGGGUGCAAGCAUUGAUCGGAAUUACUGGGCGUAAAGGGCGCGUAGGCGGUUCAGAAAGUCAGAUGUGAAAUUCCGGGGCUCAACCCCGGAGCUGCAUUUGAAACUUCUAAACUAGAGUUUAGUUAGGGAAAACGGAAUUCCACGUGUAGCGGUGAAAUGCGUAGAUAUGUGGAAGAACACCGGUGGUGAAGACGGUUUUCUGGGCUAACACUGACGCUGAGGCGCGAAAGCAAGGGGAGCAAACAGG
rnacentral:rRNA from 1 species